rnacentral:rRNA from 1 species
UAGUCUGCAACCCGGCUACAUGAAGCUGGAAUCGCUAGUAAUCGCAGAUCAGAAUGCUGCGGUGAAUACGUUCCCGGGUCUUGUACACACCGCCCGUCACACCAUGGGAGUCGGAAAUGCCCGAAGUCGGUGACCCAACCGUUUAUGGAGGGAGCUGCCGAAGGCAGGUCUGGUGACUGGGGUGAAGUCGUAACAAGGUAGC